GCCGGCUUGGCGGAAUGGUAGACGCGCUCGACUCAAAAUCGAGUUCCACAAGAGUGUGGGUUCGAGUCCCACAGCCGGUA
rnacentral:tRNA from 1 species